rnacentral:SRP_RNA from 1 species
UUUUCAGACCUGUGCAAUAUUUUUUUUAAACAUCGCUUCAGGGUAGGAAUACAGCAGAGCACUUAAAUUUAAUAUGUGCCGCAGCCACCUGGGAAAAG